UACGUAGGGGGCAAGCGUUGUCCGGAUUUAUUGGGCGUAAAGAGCGUGUAGGCGGCCAAGCAGGUCCGCUGUGAAAACUCGAGGCUCAACCUCGAGACGUCGGUGGAAACCGUUUGGCUAGAGUCCGGAAGAGGAGAGUGGAAUUCCCGGUGUAGCGGUGAAAUGCGCAGAUAUCGGGGAAGAACACCCCGUGGCGAAGGCGGCUACUCGUGGGGACGGUACUGGA
rnacentral:rRNA from 1 species